rnacentral:rRNA from 1 species
GAUGAACGCUGGCGGCGUGCCUAACACAUGCAAGUCGAGCGAUUCUCUUCGGAGAAGAGCGGCGGACGGGUGAGUAACGCGUGGGUAACCUACCCUGUACACACGGAUAACAUACCGAAAGGUAUGCUAAUACGAGAUAAUAUGCUUUUAUCGCAUGGUAGAAGUAUCAAAGCUCCGGCGGUACAGGAUGGACCCGCGUCUGAUUAGCUAGUUGGUAAGGUAACGGCUUACCAAGGCGACGAUCAGUAGCCGACCUGAGAGGGUGAUCGGCCACAUUGGAACUGAGACACGGUCCAAACUCCUACGGGAGGCAGCAGUGGGGAAUAUUGCAAAAUGGGCGAAAGCCUGAUGCAGCAACGCCGCGUGAGCGAUGAAGGCCUUCGGGUCGUAAAGCUCUGUCCUCAAGGAAGAUAAUGACGGUACCUGACUAAGAAGCCCCGGCUAACUACGUGCCAGCCGCCGCCGUAA